GAUGAACGCUGGCGGCGUGCUUAACACAUGCAAGUCGAGCGAAGCACUUACCAUUGACUCUUCGGAAGAUUUGGUAAAUGACUGAGCGGCGGACGGGUGAGUAACGCGUGGGUAACCUGCCUCAUACAGGGGAAUAACAGUUAGAAAUGGCUGCUAAUGCCGCAUAAGCGCACAGUACCGCAUGGUACGGUGUGAAAAACCGAGGUGGUAUGAGAUGGACCCGCGUCUGAUUAGGUAGUUGGUGGGGUAACGGCCUACCAAGCCGACGAUCAGUAGCCGGCCUGAGAGGGUGAACGGCCACAUUGGGACUGAGACACGGCCCAGACUCCUACGGGAGGCAGCAGUGGGGAAUAUUGCACAAUGGGGGAAACCCUGAUGCAGCGACGCCGCGUGAAGGAAGAAGUAUCUCGGUAUGUAAACUUCUAUCA
rnacentral:rRNA from 1 species